AGAGUUUGAUCAUGGCUCAGGACGAACGCUGGCGGCGCGCUUAACACAUGCAAGUCGAGCGAGAACCAGUCCUUCGGGACUGGGGACAGCGGCGAACGGGUGAGUAACACGUGGGUAAUCUGCCCUCGAUUCUGGGAUAGCCCGGGGAAACCCGGAUUAAUACCGGAUAGCCUCUCGAGCUUACGAGCUCGUGAGAAAAGGUAGCUUCGGCCUCCGAUCGAGGAUGAGCCCGCGGCGGAUUAGCUUGUUGGUGGGGUAAUGGCCUACCAAGGCGACGAUCCGUAGCUGGUCUGAGAGGACGAUCAGCCACACUGGGACUGAGACACGGCCCAGACUCCUACGGGAGGCAGCAGUGGGGAAUCUUGCGCAAUGGGCGAAAGCCUGACGCAGCGACGCUGCGUGGGGGAAGAAGGCCUUCGGGUUGUAAACCUCUUUCAGCAGGGACGAAGCCACUCGGGUUAAUAGCCCAGAGGGUGACGGUGCCUGCAGAAGAAGCCCCGGCUAACUACGUGCCAGCAGCCGCGGUAAUACGUAGGGGGCAAGCGUUGUCCGGAUUUAUUGGGCGUAAAGAGCGUGUAGGCGGCCGCACAGGUCCGUUGUGAAAACUGGAGGCUUAACCUUCAGACGUCGAUGGAAACCGUGCGGCUAGAGUCCGGAAGAGGAGAGUGGAAUUCCUGGUGUAGCGGUGAAAUGCGCAGAU
rnacentral:rRNA from 1 species